GCAAGUCGAACGAGAAACUCUAGCUUGCUGGAGUGGAAAGUGGCGAACGGGUGCGUAACGCGUAGGCAACCUGCCCCUUAGUACGGAAUAACUUCGGGAAACCGAUGCUAAUACCGUAUGACGUCUUUGGAUCGCAUGAUCUAAAGAUGAAAGCCUUCGGGCGCUAAGGGAUGGGCCUGCGUCGGAUUAGGUUGUUGGUGAGGUAACGGCUCACCAAGACAAUGACACCUAACUGGUUUGAGAGGAUGAUC
rnacentral:rRNA from 1 species